UACGGAGGGUGCAAGCGUUAUCCGGAUUCACUGGGUUUAAAGGGUGCGUAGGAGGACAGGUAAGUCAGUGGUGAAAUCCUAGGGCUUAACCCUAGAACUGCCGUUGAUACUCUCUGUCUUGAAUACCGUGGAGGUGAGCGGAAUAUGUCAUGUAGCGGUGAAAUGCUUAGAUAUGACAUAGAACACCAAUUGCGAAGGCAGCUCACUACACGAGCAUUGACUCUGAGGCACGAAAGCGUGGGGAUCAAAC
rnacentral:rRNA from 1 species